UACAGAGACUGCAAGCGUUAUUCGGAUUCACUGGGCGUAAAGGGUGCGCAGGCGGUCGGGUGUGUCAGAUGUGAAAUCCCGAGGCUCAACCUCGGAACUGCGUCUGAAACUACUCGACUAGAGUACUGGAGAGGGUAACGGAAUUCACGGUGUAGCAGUGAAAUGCGUAGAUAUCGUGAGGAACACCAGAGGCGAAGGCGGUUACCUGGACAGUUCCUGACACUGAGGCACGAAGGCCAGGGGAGCAAACGGG
rnacentral:rRNA from 1 species